GAAGCAGCCUGGCUAAGAGAGGUAGCUGAGGCUCUGGGAGCUUUGGGCUGGGCCUGCCCAGAUCUAGGGGUUGCCUACAGCAAACCAUGGUUGAGGGAGAAGAACGAGACUGGAAGUCCUAGCAACCUCUAGAGGAGAAGCAGGAGCCCACGCAGGGAUAUACUUCUGGCUACGGCAUUCCUGACAGCACGGUCUGGCCCUACCAGCUGCUGCAAACUAACAGCUCAGCCAUCGCUGAGGAAUACUGGCUGUUUCCAUACCUCUGCACAGCACCUGCAGCAGCGUUCAGCGCCUCCACCCACUCACCUGCCCUCCCGAGAAGCAAGGCUAUGCUUGUUAGCAGUGCUAUGGCCCCAAGCUCCUCCUGCCUUCAUAAAUCCUGCAUGUUUUCAGGGACCCAGGACAGAGAUGUUGAGGAGGAAGUUGCAAGCACACCCACAGAUAACAGAGCUUGAAAGAAUUCCAGGAAGAAAGAUCCUGAAUGCAGUGUACUGACAUUUGAUCAAACAAGUGACGACUGGAUUAGGAGUGGAUUUACAAGGAAGUUUGCAGCCUUCCAGUGAAGUGGCACGGAGGAUGGUAAGAGUAUGUCCAGUAGAUCUGUGUCAGUUCAGGGUCCAGUUCCUUUGUCUCUCAGAUAUGUGGUCAAGAAAUAUGGCAUAGGAAACUUGCUGUACAGCAUCUGGCAUCUUAGCAAGGAAGGUAGCUUUAAACAAGCUUCACACCUUCCAGUGACACUCCAGAGGCUUGAGAAGUGUUUGGUUUAAUUUAGACAGUGUUGUCUGUAAUUUCCUAAGCACUGCAUGGGGUUUCAUUGCCUUUAAAUGUAUUCCUUCUGACUUCAGAGUGCUUCUUGAGCUUGAAAAGGAGUCCUAGAGCGAACAUUUUAUGGCCUCCUUUCUAUAUUGCUCAGGCAGUCCUCACUGAGACAAACUCAGAAAUUUUAGUCUGUUUAUACCAUCUGGCUACUUUUGUUUGUCCUGAACCUUCCAUUAGAAAACCUUAGCUCCUAAACAUAAUGCUUUGACCGUAUUAAAAGACAGCUAGUGUUUUGACUAGAUUGCUUAUGCCAGCGGCCCUUAUGGAGCGGCAUUAGAGGAUGUGAUAGAGAAUGAUCAUCCUUCUAUGCAAUC